rnacentral:lncRNA from 1 species
UAGGCAAUGAAAGCUACAAUCCUCUACGUUAAAUGCUAAAUAGAGAGAUCGUAUGAAAAAUGAACCCCGAUACGUAGCAAAUAUUCCCCCCAAGAACUCUUUGGUUUCCAUUGCAGCUUAUUAAUUAUUAAAUUCAAAGAGAACACCUUAAGUUCCAAACUGGGACCAAUUCAGGAACCGGUCUCUUUGGUACAUUCAAAGAAGACCCGAU